ensembl:lncRNA novel transcript
AGCCCUUCUUCCACUACUCCUUCCUCAAAAGGCCUUCUAAGUCGUCACUCUCCUAGCACUGGUUACAAGAAAUGUCGGUGGGAGUGGUUGUUUUACGAUAAACCACUCUGAUAAAAAAAAUGCUCCAAUGAUUAUUUUUGAGAUGUCAGAGCUGAAAAUGUACAGAUUUCACUGGACGAAGAACCUGCCAAGUGGUGAUUGCACAACCAAAGCACUGCAAGGAACCAAGGAGGCCAAAUGUGUGUUGGAAAAAUCACAGAUGUCAUCUGGGAAUGCUCAGAGCCUUGGGCUUUCACGCUGAGACAGACUCGCUUCCACCGGAACCUCAGCCUUUUAAGGCUAAAUCAAGGCCGUGACUUCCUCAGCUGAAUCAACCUGACACUGUUCCCUGAGCUCACUGGGAUCCUAUUGGCAGAGCGUCAGCCCCGUCAUGGAAAGAAUGCCUCCACCAGGGAGGACUGGGUUAGUCCCCAUCCUGAACUGGAUCAUAAACACCCACCUUGUCAUAAAGCUGCUCCCCCACCCCAGCAUGUGUUCUGAAGUUCACAGGAAGGCUUCUCCUCAUUUGCUUUGGGGCCCGCAGGCUGCCUGCUAACAGCUGGGUCUUCCCAUGAACAAAUUAGACAGUUAAUGUUCCAGGAUGAAGAGGGCUUCGGGGAACAGAAUCUGCCGUUUAUUUGACUUGCUUCAUUAGACACAGUGCCAUCAUACCAAAAUUAGAAAAAAGAAG